rnacentral:lncRNA from 1 species
UUGGAAGGUGUUGAUCGAUAUAUGCCUUUAUCUUCUGUCCUCGUCUCUUCUCCUCUUGUCGUUCUCUCUAGCAACAAAUGAAACAAUCGAUCGAUGAAAUCUGACCCGUAAAUUCCCUUAUAGGGGGUAUAUCUGUCUAUUCACUUCAAAUAAGAGAUGGAAUGAUUCAUUCCUGCCUCCCCCUGCGGGAAUGAAUUUUUAUUUUUACAGUUGGGUAAUAUUCCAGCUUGAAUACAUCUUUCCAACGAAAGGGAGAAACCAAACAUGAUAUUUUUUAUUCCAACAGAAUGAUUUAUUCUACUCCCUCUCUCAUUCCACCAAACUAACACAACACUAGUCUCAUAUCAAAAUAUGUGGGAUUGUCUCAACUUUAUAUAAGGUCAUUGUUACUCCCAAGAGUACUUAUAA